AGAGUGUUAUGAUGUUGGAAGGGCUUGUCAACUUUUCCGAGUCUAGCUCAGCGCUACAUCCCGGCUUUUAGUCGGGAUG
rfam:Enterococcus asini ATCC 700915 genomic scaffold acvKe-supercont1.4, whole genome shotgun sequence.